AUCCAGCUGACGAGUCCCAAAUAGGAUGAGACGUGCGUCCUGGAU
rfam:Schistosoma margrebowiei strain Zambia genome assembly, scaffold: SMRZ_scaffold0000496